GCAAUGGACAGCUUCGAGCGUGAGGUAUGUUCUUCUAACUAGCAAGGAUGUGUCAAAUGAGAAGGCCUCUUGCUGUGCAAAAGUUUUGGAGUUUGAUCUGUGAAGGAGAUGCAGCCUGGAUGGAACUCCAUCAAUUCGAAAAGAACGCUUUGCCACUUUUCAGGUGUUCGUAUGCUCGUGGCACAAGCUUACCGGCCCAAGAAAGAGAUGGCAGCAUCAAGGUCAUCAGAAACAUUCAACCAAAGGUGGAAAUCAAGUGCCUCCAGGAUUGCCUUG
rnacentral:lncRNA from 1 species